rnacentral:rRNA from 1 species
CCUACGGGGAGCAGCAGUGAGGAAUAUUGGUCAAUGGGCGCGAGCCUGAACCAGCCACGUAGCGUGAAGGAUGACUGCCCUACGGGUUGUAAACUUCUUUUAUAAAGGAAUAAAGUGAGGCGCGUGUGCCUUUUUGUAUGUACUUUAUGAAUAAGGAUCGGCUAACUCCGUGCCAGCAGCCGCGGUAAUACGGAGGAUCCGAGCGUUAUCCGGAUUUAUUGGGUUUAAAGGGAGCGUAGAUGGGUUGUUAAGUCAGUUGUGAAAGUUUGGGGCUCAACCAUAAAAUUGCAAUUGAUACUGGCAGUCUAGAGUACAGUUGAGGUAGGCGGAAUUCGUGGUGUAGCGGUGAAAUGCGUAGAUAUCACGAAGAACUCCGAUUGCGAAGGCAGCUUACUAAACUGCCACUGACAUUGAUGCUCGAAAGUGUGGGGAUCAAACAGGAUUAGAUACCCUAGUAGUC